AUGGGCAUGGGAGGGAAACUGAAAAUUCAUCAUCCAAAGUUCUUAUGUUGUAGGGCUAUUUGGAACACAGAAAAAAUAUGUGGCUGCCUGCUAGAGCCAAGGGUGAAGCAGAUAUUUCAAAAGUAGCAUGGCUGUUCCCGCAUUUGGAUCCCGUCCUUGAAAAGAUAACUCGUGUCUUCUUAGCACUUCUUAGCUGAGAUUGUGUUUUUCAAAUAUUUAGAUCAUUUGCCUCUAAUGCAGAUUUCACUGGAAUUUUGUUGAACCAUGACAUGAUUAUUUUUUGGGUAAAGAGUAUUUGCCCCACAUAGCUGUCUUUUAAAAUAAAAACAAAACCGUGCUUCCCUGCCAUAGGCCAGCCACCACUGGCUCUUCAUGAUCAGGGUUGGUCUUGACUCAUGGUCUGAAAUCUUCUAUUUUCCUAGGAAAAUGUAUUGAGAGAUACAUGACUUUAAGGGAUCCAAAAUUCGCCCCCCCCCCCAAAAAAAAAUCAGAAGCUUGAUAACUUGAGAUUUGAGCCAAUAUAUUUGCUGGGGAAAUAGUGAUUAAUCACUUUUCCUGCAUUAUUUUCUCUACAGACAGAUUGGUCCAGUCUGGACAAUUAUAUAUUGGGUUAAUAAGCAAAGAUAUGCCCAAAAAUUUUACCCACGCAUGCAACUUGCCCUUUAUGGUGUACCUGAACACAAAGUGGGUAUCAUCAGUUAACCAUUUUUUCUCAUUUUGUCUGAACUGUAAAACUAUGAUUACCAAGUCAGGAACAAGCCAGAAAAUCAAACUGUUGUUGGCAGUUGGUUUAAGAUCUUGGCUUGUUCUGAACCUGGUUGUGGGAGUUUCCACUUGGAAGAGAUGGACACUGUUGCUAAUUGAAGACUUGUAUCUUGCAUUCAGAAACUCCAAGGAAGGAAGUGGCUGCUUGCAUUGGUACCAGCUUUAUUUAUAUCUUGGUUUAUUAAGCCAAGAUAUGAUCAUCUGAAUACAGCUAAAAAUAGAAAUAUAUAUUUCUGAAGGUGAUCAUUGAAACCCAGCAUUGUCACAGUAACAUCACAUUAUAUCAUAUCUGCAGGCAUAUCAGAAUGAGUGUCUUUGCCUGUGCUUUCUGUGGUACAAAUCUGGAUAAACUGGCUAGAAAAAUCACAUUAUCCUAGGUUCCUAUAAUCUGGAAGCUAGUGUUGAAAAAUGCUGAUUUCUUACAUCUUCCCCAUUCAGGAGCAGUAUCAAAAGUUUGCUGCACAUUCAUAGGAAUUUGAGUUUAAUUUUUAUAGCCAUACUGUAGUAGUAUGUUGAAAUUAUGGGGGUUGGAGGAGAGAGAAAGUCAGCGAAUAAAAGUCCAGAGUUUUUGAUUAGACUAAACAAGCCUUUUUUCAGCCCUAGAAUUUGGAGUUUUUCUUGAGAGUGAGAAAUCUGUUGUUUAAGCCAUCCCUUCAUCUUGGCUCCCCUGAUUUGCCCUCCCUUCUCUUCCAGAGAUUUGUGCCUGUGGAAUUAGCACAGGAACAGAAAGUGGAUGUGGUCAUUCUAUCUUUAGUAUUCACUUUUUUAUGUAUACACUCAGACCCCUGUUGAGAGGGAAACAAAACUUUGGAAUAGUUUAUCAAAUAGCAACACAAGACCACAAAGGGGCAUCCCGAGGAAGUGGCAUCUUAAAGAUCAGAAGUUACCACCAGGUGGGUAACAGUGCUUCUUACCAGCUAAUCUGUGCUCUUAUCUGUCAAAGAUUGGAGCAGUUAACUCAAGAUCAAUCAAAAGGAUUACUAAAAUUUUCACACCCUCUCCCCAGAACUGUCCAAUGUACAGUCUUCUGAUAACAACAUGCUUGGAACCAAAGUGACCAUCCAUCCAUGACCCUUAUGGUGCUUUUAGAGCCUCUUUGAAGUGGAUUAGUCACUUCUAGACUGCUGAUCAAUGGAACCUGAUCUGAUCUCGUCUAUCCAGAAAUUAGUAUGCACCAGCUGUGCACUCUUGUCAUUCCUUUUGUUUUUCAUGUAGUUUUGAUGUGUGUAAUAUAUCAAGAAGGCUGACUGAAUGCUGGGCUAAUCAUCUCCCCAGUAGUGGGAAUCUGAAUACAGCAGCCAAGUUAAACAGUCUGCCCAAGGACAUGCCAGCAGAGAGUGAUAUGCUUCUGCUGUGUCAGACUGUGUGUGUUGUUUUCUGUUUUAAAGGCCAAAGACUCUUAUCACAGAAUGCCUUCCCCAACCUAGUGACCUCCAGAUGUUUUGAGCUACAACUCCCAUCAUCCCUUACCAUUGAUCAUGUGGGCUGGGGCUGAUAGAAAUCCUGGAAGGCACCAGAACCCAUACAGGUAUAUCGCCUCAGGACACAAGCAGCCAACAACACCUCUCAUCUGUAGCCAAGGAUGCAAGAACAAAGCACCUUGAAGAGGAUCGUGACAGCCUGGACACAUGGAGCAGGACGAAUGCAGUACCCAGAGUUCUGUUGUAACUCCCUAAAAGAGAGGUGCAGAGAACAGGACACAUUCCACCCCCAGUGCCAUGCAGAUCUCAAGUGAAGCCUAAAGCGAGACCAGCAGUUGCGACUAUUGUGAUUCUAGCCAUAUAUAUCAAUCCAGCUACCUUGUAGAAAAGCAAGAUUUUGUAUAUUGAAAUAUCUGAUACUGUGCAAUAAAAGUUUUCAUUUGUAGCAA